CUUCUAUAGAUAACAUGAAAUUUUGUUGAUAUCAAAAAUUACUAUGAACUUGAGACUUCUGUUUUUCAAAGAUCUAAAAAACAAGAUCAAUGAAACUGUCUUAACCUUUGCUACAAAAACCUUGAACCAGACCUGCUACUAGCCAGAUCUAGAGGCAAAGCCAAAGAAGAGCACAAUAUAUCAGAGUUUUUUCUUAUGGACUCUUGUCCAGAUACAUUUUUUUUUUCAAAUUUGUUACCUGUGCAGAUGCUUUUUUUUAAAACUUCAGGCUAGGAUUUUACAUUUUUCCAUGCUAAAUUUCAGAAUUCUAGCAUUUCUUAUCUUUUGGAUCUGAAUCGUGUUAGGAAACUCUCCCAACUUUGUUAUAGGAAUGUAAAGGGAUGCUUACAAUUUCCAGAGCUUAUCUAUUGACUCUGGGAAGACUUAGCCCUUUCCAUUGCUAAAAGAAGGAGUAGGAGAAGAAAAGGUCUGGUGAAAGGUAAUGAUGUCUGCAAGUUCAAGAGGAAAUGAAUGGAUAGGCCAUUCAGCAGGCCUCCACUGUCAUUGUUGCCCAACCUCAGGAAAAUGGGAAAGGACUGUAGCUGGGCUAUGGAGCAGCUGCAGACCUGUUGCCAAGAAAAAAACAAACAAAUAAAAAACUGGUGACAUGCA